AACGAACGCUGGCGGCAUGCCUAACACAUGCAAGUCGAACGAGACCUUCGGGUCUAGUGGCGCACGGGUGCGUAACGCGUGGGAACCUGCCUUUAGGUUCGGAAUAACUCAGAGAAAUUUGAGCUAAUACCGGAUAAUGUCUUCGGACCAAAGAUUUAUCGCCUUUAGAUGGGCCCGCGUUGGAUUAGCUAGUUGGUGGGGUAAAGGCCUACCAAGGCGACGAUCCAUAGCUGGUCUGAGAGGAUGAUCAGCCACACUGGGACUGAGACACGGCCCAGACUCCUACGGGAGGCAGCAGUGGGGAAUAUUGGACAAUCGGCGAAAGCCUGAUCCAGCAAUGCCGCGUGAGUGAUGAAGGCCCUAGGGUGUAAGACUCUUUUACCUACGGGAUGAUAAUGACAGUACCUGGAGAAUAAGACUCCGGCUAACU
rnacentral:rRNA from 1 species